rnacentral:rRNA from 1 species
CCUACGGGGUGCAGCAGUGGGGAAUAUUGCACAAUGGGCGCAAGCCUGAUGCAGCCAUGCCGCGUGUAUGAAGAAGGCCUUCGGGUUGUAAAGUACUUUCAGCGGGGAGGAAGGGAGUAAAGUUAAUACCUUUGCUCAUUGACGUUACCCGCAGAAGAAGCACCGGCUAACUCCGUGCCAGCAGCCGCGGUAAUACGGAGGGUGCAAGCGUUAAUCGGAAUUACUGGGCGUAAAGCGCACGCAGGCGGUUUGUUAAGUCAGAUGUGAAAUCCCCGGGCUCAACCUGGGAACUGCAUCUGAUACUGGCAAGCUUGAGUCUCGUAGAGGGGGGUAGAAUUCCAGGUGUAGCGGUGAAAUGCGUAGAGAUCUGGA